rnacentral:tRNA from 1 species
AAGGGCGUCGUACAAUGGUUAGUAUAAGGAUCUUCAAAAUCUGAGAUAGGUGUUCGAUUCACCUCGCCCUUG